CAGGCAGACCGGAUGCUGAAUGUAGAUGUCGAGGGGGUUAAUGCCGGGUUUGGGCUGCUGAGGUGGGGCUGCCAGUGAGCAGGCACCCACUGGUGGGAGCCUGGAGACAUCUAAGCUGCAGCAAGCAGCAGCAGCAGCAGCAGCAGCAGCAGCAAGGAAAGAAUAAGCGUGAACCACAACGAGAGCCAGGUGGAACUGGAGAUGUCAUCGCUGGUGAAGGAAGACUUGGAGAAAAAACUGUUUAAGCCGCUGGCGCAGAAUCUCUGUGAGUUUAUUGAGAUCGAGGUGUCUGUCCAGGACAGGUAUUUCCUCUGCGUGUCAGUGACCAAAACUGAUGAAGUAAAAAUCACCAUGGUGAAGCACUACAGAGUAGGGCUGGAUGAGAAGUAUGAAGUAACAAAAAGGUGGUCCUUGAGUGAUCUGCGGAUGAUUGAUGGAAAAGAAGCAGAUACCGACAAUCCAUUUUUUGAUCUGCACUUCAAGAAAGUCUACAGCUUGGAGGCCUACAGCUGUGCCUCUAAGUACUCCUUUGCUCGAACGGUGAGCAGGCUGAACCACGUGUAUCUUAAGAAGGACUUACACAUGGUCAACUUCGAUUCUACUUACAUUAACGAUGACUCCAUUUGGUCCUCCAACAACAAGGACUGCCUGGUCCUCAUGAGAAUAUGCUUUUAUGCUUUCAAUCUUGUGUGCUUGUCCUUGUGUCCCCUGCCACUUUGAAGAUGUAACCCAAAGCCCUUCAUCCACGUCUGAAGAAAAUGGCU
rnacentral:lncRNA from 1 species